rnacentral:misc_RNA from 1 species
UCUCCGUUGGUGAACCAGCGGAGGGAUCAUUACAGAGUUAUCUAACUCCCAAACCCAUGUGAACUUACCAUUUGUUGCCUCGGCAGAGCCUACCCGGUAACUGUUCGGAGAAGCUACCCUGUAGCUACCCUGUAACGGCCUACCCUGUAACGCACUGCCGGUGGACUUUUAAACUCUUGUUAUUCUAUGGAUAUCUGAGCGUCUUAUUUAAUAAGUUAAAACUUUCAACAACGGAUCUCUUGGUUCUGGCAUCGAUGAAGAACGCAGC